rnacentral:rRNA from 1 species
CAUUGUCGAAAUAGAAGGGAAGAAUGACCCGCGAAUCGUCAUUGCGUCCUAGAUAGAGCCUUUGGGCAUGACGCUUACGAGGCUCUCGUCGCGUCGACGUGGAAGCCUUCACGAGGCCCGCGUCGUCCCGACGGAAGAACAUUUUCAGCACGGAUCGUGCCAAGGAGCUGCAUGGAGAGAAACGUCGUCUCACGCCUUCGGUUGCCCUUGUUGCGCGACGGUAGGCGGGGGACGCUCGUGGCCUCUGUUAAAAAGUCGAAAUGACUCUCGGCAACGGAUAUCUCGGCUCUUGCAUCGAUGAAGAACGUAGCGAAAUGCGAUACUUGGUGUGAAUUGCAGAAUCCCGCGAACCAUCAAUUCUUUGAACGCAAGUUGCGCCCGAAGCCAUUCGGCCGAGGGCACGCCUGCCUGGGUGUCGUGAAUCCCCUUGCCGCCGAGCACCCGCCAUCAUGCUUGCGUAUGGCGUGGGUCAAUGCUCGGGCGCAGAACGUGGUCCUCCCGCGAGUUGCACGUGCGGUUGGCCGAAAUUCGAGCAGGGACGUGACGAAAUCACGACGUUCGGUGGAUCUAAUGAGAUUGGCUGCGUCCUGGUCGCGGCGCACGUCUCGUGCUGGGUUCUGAUGAUCUCGAGUGCGA